rnacentral:rRNA from 1 species
AUGCCGAUCAUGCAAGCGCCGGGACAAAGCACCGGGCCAGUGAACGUGCCGCGGCGUGGGCUGAGCAGCCGCGCGUGGUUGCUGACAUCGCCCGCCACCCCGCAGCCGCGCUACGGGAGCAUCAUCACCGUGCUCAGCAUCGACGGUGGCGGCGUCCAUGGGGUCAUCCCUGGCACCAUCCUUGCUUUCCUCGAAGAAAAGCUCCAGGAGCUUGAUGGGCCAGACGCGAGGAUCGCGGACUACUUCGACGUGGUCGCCGGGACGAGCAUGGGGGGCCUCACCGCGCCCAACGCCCAAGGCCGCCCACUCUUCGCCGCCAAGGAUGUCAACACGUUCUACCUCGAACACUGCCCGAAUAUCUUCCCUGCCGUCUACAAAGGACCUCUGGGCUGGCUCAAGAGCAUGAUGGGGCCCAAGUACAACGGCCAGCACCUGCACAAGGUCGUCAAGGAACUGCUUGGCGACACGCGAGUCGAUCAGACGCUCAAGAACAUCGUCAUCCCCACCUUCGAUAUGAAGCUCCACCAGCCUACAAUCUUCUCCACCUAUGACGUACGUGCGGAUGUCUCCAAGAAUGCUCUUCUGUCGGAUGUCUGUAUCAGCACGUCCGCAGCACCGACCUACCUCCCUGGCCACCAUUUCGAGACCAAGGAGACAAAGAUGGCAAGACCCGGGCUUUCAACCUCAUCGAUGGAGGCGUCGUUGCUAACAAUCCGACGCUGCUGGCAAUGA